rnacentral:rRNA from 1 species
UGGGGAAUAUUGCACAAUGGGCGCAAGCCUGAUGCAGCCAUGCCGCGUGUAUGAAGAAGGCCUUCGGGUUGUAAAGUACUUUCAGCGGGGAUGAAGGGAGUAAAGUUAAUACCUUUGCUCAUUGACGUUACCCGCAGAAGAAGCACCGGCUAACUCCGUGCCAGCAGCCGCAGUAAUACGGAGGGUGCAAGCGUUAAUCGGAAUUACUGGGCGUAAAGCGCACGCAGGCGGUUUGUUAAGUCAGAUGUGAAAUCCCCGGGCUCAACCUGGGAACUGCAUCUGAUACUGGCAAGCUUGAGUCUCGUAGAGGGGGGUAGAAUUCCAGGUGUAGCGGUGAAAUGCGUAGAGAUCUGGAGGAAUACCGGUGGCGAAGGCGGCCCCCUGGACGAAGACUGACGCUCAGGUGCGAAAGCGUGGGGAGCAAACA